rnacentral:tRNA from 1 species
CGGCCGGUAGCCCAAUCGGUAGAGGCACCUGUACACAAUCAGGUCAUAGUGUGAGUUCGACCCUCACCCGGCCCA